AUACAGAGGGUGCAAGCGUUAAUCGGAAUUACUGGGCGUAAAGCGCGCGUAGGUGGUUAGUUAAGUUGGAUGUGAAAGCCCUGGGCUCAACCUGGGAAUGGCAUUCAAAACUGGCUGACUAGAGUAUGGGAGAGGGAAGGGGAAUUCCAGGUGUAGCGGUGAAAUGCGUAGAUAUCUGGAGGAACAUCAGUGGCGAAGGCGCCUUCCUGGACUAAUACUGACACUGAGGUGCGAAAGCGUGGGUAGCAAACAGGAUUAGAAACCCUUGUAGUCC
rnacentral:rRNA from 1 species